rnacentral:rRNA from 1 species
UUCUAAAGUUUAUAAUAGAAUUUUAUUUUUUAGUCAAAAAGCUAAAAUAAUAUUAAAAGACGAGAAGACCCUAUAAAUCUUUAUAUAUAGAUUAUUAGAAUUUCAUAGAUUUUUUUUGUUAUAAUAAUUAAUUGUAUUUUAUUGGGGUGAUAUUAAAAUUUAAUAAACUUUUAAUUUUAAAAAUCAUUAAUUUAUGAAUAAUUGAUCCGUUAAUAACGAUUAGAAAAAUAAGUUACCUUAGGGAUAACAG